AUGGAACCUGAAAUUCCCCAACUCCAUUAUAGUAAAAAGUGUCUUCCCUUCCUCUGGCUCAAGAAUUAAAAUAUUUUCGUUCUUUGACACAUUGUAAUUUGAUUCCCUAAAUAUUUAUAAUUGUAGAUUUAAAAACUCGGUCUUCUGCUGUAUCAGACAUCUAGAUGGGCAUUUUCCAACAGAAUUAUGAGAGGCCUCUUAUAGAACUUGAAACCUUCCUUGUAGCCUCAUAUAAAUAUAUAAACAGGUACAAUUCAUUUUACUAGUAUAUUUUUAACUCAAAAUGCUCAUACUAUGCUUUCAAUAAGAAAUACAAAUAGGCCGGGUGAGGUGGCUCACAUCUGCAAUCCCAGCACUUUGGGAGGCUGAGGCGGGUGGAUCACGAGAUCAGGAGAUCGAGACCAUCCUGAUUAACACGGUGAAACCCCGUCUCUCCUAAAAAUACAAAAAAUUAGCCAGGUGUGGCAGCGGGCAGCUACUUGGGAGGCUGAGGCAGGAGAAUGGCAUGAACCCGGGAGGCGGAGAUUGCAGUGAGCCCAGAAUGCGCCACUGCACUCUAGCCUGGGCAACAGAGCAAGACUCUGUCUCAAAAAAAAUAAAUACAAAUACAGUAUUUUCUAUUUUUCAUAUUAACUGGCACGUCUUUCAUGCAGCAUAUCCAGUUCAGACCGGGCGCAAUUCAUGUGCUCAGCCGCUGCAUGUGGUAGCACAGGCACUGCUGGGUCAUCGUGACAUGGGCAGGCUUGGAUUGAUUCGCUGCUGGUGUGGAUCUGUGGAGAACUCCCAUCCUGCACCCACUCCGAUCUCCCCCUCCUGGACGUGGGUGAUAUGCUCUGCCCACACCUGAGCUCUCUCCGAGCUCCGCCUUCCGGACUCGGUAGAGUGGCCAUGCUCCACCCACACCGGAGCUCUCUCUGAGCUCCGCCUUCUGGACAUGGUAGGAUGGCCAUGCUCCACCCACACCUGAGCUCUGGGUGCCAUGAUCUGCAGGUGUACUCCAGAGGACAAGUGUACUGUGGGUGCGUCUCAUUCAUUCUCCUGGCCUUGCCCUCAGUUCUGGUUGGCACAGCUGUGGUCACAGACUAAAAAUAGCCACCUCAUUCGUUUUGUGCAGCUUUACAGUUGUUUAUGGCAGAUGUGUGAUUUGGGUCCCUGUUCCCUCAUCAUGGCUAGAACAAGUUUUGGCAAAUGAUUCUUAUAUCUUUACAUUUGAAAACUAAAGGAAAGUUUCACCCAUAGAAUAUUAGUGUUGCCACGAUCCUAAUGAGUGUUUCUCCAGAAACUAUGAUCCAGGUCAGCAGCCAGUCAUUUCAUAGAAGAUAAACUUCAAGAACAUUCUCUGAAGGGCAGUGAAACUGAGUAAGAUCUAACCACUGUUACCAGCAACAAAGAAAAAUAGGUAAGAAAAUGCAACUAAGAUUUGGAUCAAGUAGAUACGGUAAUAAACAUGCAAACUAUCGCUAAGCA
rnacentral:lncRNA from 1 species